UCUACGGUGAGCAGCAGUAGGGAAUCUUCCACAAUGGGCGAAAGCCUGAUGCAGCAACGCCGCGUGGGUGAAGAAGGUCCUCGGAUCGUAAAACCCUGUUGUUAGAGAAGUAAGUGCGUGAGAGUAACUGUUAUCGUUUCGACGUUAUCUAACCAGAAAGCCACGGCUAACUACUUGCCAGAAGCCGCGGUAAUAGGUAGGUUGCAAGCGUUAUCCGGAUUUUUUGGGCGUAAAGGGAACGCAGGCGGUCUUUUAAGUCUGAUGUGAAAGCGUUCGGCUUAACCGGAGUAGUGCAUUGGAAACUGGGAGACUUGAGUGCAGAAGAGGAGAGUGGAAUUCGAUGUGUAGCGGUGAAAUGCGUAGAUAUAUGGAAGAACUCCAGUGGCGAAGGCAGCUUUCUGGUCUGUAACUGACGCUGAGGUUCGAAAGCGUGGGUAGCAAACAGGAUUAGAUACCCGGGUAGUC
rnacentral:rRNA from 1 species